GUUGAACUGUGAUUUUCCCAUCAUGAAUUAAAGCUAUGAUUUCACAUUAUCUACUGCCUUGAAACGAUACUUAAAGCAGUGGUUGUAGACACCAACAAAGCAAUAUUUAUUGGCCUCAUCACUUUUAAAAAACACUGAUGUUUGUUUUGGCUUUGUGAGCUGAGAUAUUUCUGAACUGUCGUUAGUGAUCUCCUAGUUAACGGUUGGCUUGUGAUAGAUAAAGCUGAAUAAUCAGUCAGCCCUGGUUGUAAUCAAAAUGUUUACCAGAAGCAUACUUUGAAUUUGUGCUUCUGCUUCGAGUUGGUUUGAAAUAAUUUUGUAGCCUUCCUUUUCAAACCAUGGUGAAAAGUUAGACAUUAAAAGAUCAAUUGUAUGGAAACAGAAAGACUUAGAAAAUUCAUGUGCAUAAUUUAAGUGGCUAGGUUACUGGUCCACAUUUAAUUAGGAGCUUUUUCUUUCUUGAAUAUUCAGGAAUUUCAUACCCAAGUUUAGAUUUUUUCCAGAUUUGCUCUCAGGAUAAAUGGUAGCUUUCAUGUGAUGGACCACUGAGAUUUAAGUGUGAAUUUUCUGGAAGAUCGGCUUUCUUUUGGUGAAAGAGCUGUACCUGGCAGAGUUUAGGAUGAACUGACUGUGCUUAGGACAUUUUGACCUAGUUGAGUAGCAAGGAAGUUACCUGUCCCAUUUGAGCAUCUCUGCCUCUAACUUGAGGAGUUUUGAGACACACGAGAUUUCCAUUAUCUCAUCCUGAAAUGCUGGGCUUGGGGUUUCUGCUGUGACUCUUUUUUUCCAGCCCUUUGAAAUACCAGGCUCAUGUUGUGCUUGCAAACAAAGAAGUUGAAGAAAGUUUUCGUCAACCUCUUCACAUAAGGGUGUAUUUCAAGCUUGUUCAGUAAAAAGGCCUCGCAGUGCAAGUCCUUGUCUGGCAAGAUAACAGCCUGAGUUCAAUGUGCUCAUGGAAUACUAAUUAGUCUCUUCAUUCAGAUUUUCCUGUUUUCUUCUUCUUCUUUUUUUUCCCCCCCCCCCCCAAGAAGACUGAAUAUUUAGCAUGUCACCAACAUUCUCUGUGGUUUUCUGGAAGAAUUUAACUGCUUCAUGGUGGCUUGGAGAAAGCUGGUUCCUUUCAUAUUUAUUUCAAGUCGUCUUCUUCCAAAUGAAGUAUCCAGAGGAUGUGAAAGCAUCAUCUGUGUGUUUAGACAAAUACUGCUUGCACCUAAAAACUCCAUGACAGUGGUAAUCAAGUAUACUUCACUAGCUUCAGAAUAAUGGAGCCAUUGAGAAAUCUUCAAACCAGGAUGAGCACAAAGAACAGUCUUGUUUUCUGAAGUUCUGUGCAGGAAAAAGCUCAAGUCAUGGUUGAUGAGGUGUCUCAGAAAUGUUAACAGUGUCAAGCAACUGGCAAUUGGUUCCUGUGGCAGGAAAUAGCAAAGGCAGCUCAGCGCUACAAGCAGUAGAAGCUGUCCUUAUUGUCGUUGGAAUUGUAGUUUCCUCGUUUUUAAUCAUCAUGUGUUGUAAGCGAAUUUGUUUUAGCCUCUGGAGAAUGCAUAUUUUGCUUUUGUGUGGCCUCUGCUCGUUUGGUAAGAAUGGUAGUGGCUAAUGUACACACAACUCUUGGGCAAACUGAAAUAUUCAGCUGGUCACUUUGUUUAUGCAAUUGCAUUUAUUGCAGAAAAGUUUGGAACAUGGCAGGAUGAAGAAGAGGAAUAGCCUGUGCCAUGAAGGGCUGUUAAAAACAAAGACACCACCUCUGGCUUAGGAGUCUCUGAGCCACAAAUUGCUAAGGGCUGCAAAAAUAUUGGGGGGAAGUAUUACUGUGCAGUUGCCCAUUGCAUUGCUGCUGGCCGUUGCUGGAGACGGGAUGCUGGGCUUUUACAAAGAACUGCUCUUUGGUCUGACCCACUAUGCCUGUUUUCAUCUACAUCUGCUUUUACAUUUUGUCUGUGCAAAAAAACUGUAACAAAGAAUAGGCUGUCAAGAAAUUAAAUUAUGUUGUGUUAUUCUGUAAGGAAAAACUACCCCUUUGAAAUCAAAGGCCCAGCCAAGGUUUUGUCCAGUUCUGUAUGUUGAUAUAGUUGGUGAUGAACAUUAAUAUAUGUGAGGCAUGAGCAGAAAACAUAAGUACCUGCUAUGGUCUUAGAUUCUUGCCAGGAAAAAAUGCUCAAUGAAGUGAAAUCCUUUUGUUUUCUUUGAAGCAUCUCUUUGGUUCUAGCUGAUACUGUUUUAACACUGAAAACUAUUUAAUUCUGCUUUAAUUUUCUCCCAUGUAACCUGUAAUCUUUCUACGCACUUCAAGCAGAGAUGUGUGUGGCUGAUUCUGAAUACUACUGCAGAUACUGCUGUGCAACCUGGAAGACUCCACUGACUGUAGAAAUCAGAUUCUCUUUUGGAAAGAUGAAACCCGGGAGGUAGCGGAGCUCCCUGUGGGCAAAGCUGUGAUUUGAAACUUUUGCCUGAGAAACAGGCAUCAAACCCACAAGAAACAGCAAUUAUCUUUUACACAUUUUCUUCAGGAGUGUUUUCUUUCUAUGACUCCAGUCACAGUGUGGGCUGUCAUCGAAGACUUGGUUAACUCUCCUCUUUUCCUCCAGGAUAUUGGGUCUUCAGUCUUAGAUCACUCACACAGAUCCUUCCAUUUUGGUAUAAUUUAUUGUACCUUUGGUUUAGACACUAUUCUUAUGUUUUAUUUUCAGUGUGGUGCAGCCCACCUUUUUUUUUUCCUAUUCCAUGUUUUUUAUCUCCCUCUGACUUUAAAUGAAAAUGGGUAGAGACCAAGUCCACCCAAGUGGGCUAGUGUCAGACAUAGAAGUCUCUUACAAUCUUUCUUGCCGCUGGCACUGACUGAAGAUAUAGAAUGAUGCAAUGUAUAAAUCUUUUUUUUUGUUGCCUUCUGUAUAUCUGUAGGGAUUCAGCUUCUCUGGCACUUUCACUUGUUCUACUCUUCAACUUAAGAUUAUUUUCUUUAAUUUCUUUCUGCUGCUGGCACAAUGGCAUGUUCAUUAACCACUUCAACCCAAGGUGCUCGAAAGAAGUUGUCUUUAUCUGGUGACACAGUUCCAACAGCUUUUGCCUAGCAGAACAUGGGCUUUUACAGAACUCCUCCCCUGGAUAUUUUUGUGUGUCUGGACAGAGCCCACUGAAAGGUGUAACUCACUGCUACAGGGAGAACAGUUUGGCUGCAAGAUAAGGAAAGAAGUCUAGACAGAUCUGUCUCAGCACACAGGAUAAGGUUAUUUUGCCUAUCUAAAGUUCUGUCCCAGUCGUUUAGUGCAUGUUUAUAUUUUGAGUGAUGACAUCCUAUUUCUUCAAGGAUUUUUAUGAGAAGCAAUCAGACUCCUCUAGCCCCUACAACCUCCUGCAAAUCCUAGUUUGUUUGGGAUUUUAGGUCCUGUGCUCGGGGCUGCUAGCCUCACUGAAGACAUUUUUUUUCGGUGGAGGAAGACUUUCCAUAUUCCUGCUAAAGAAUGUUAAUGUGCAAUAGCUGAAGAAGUUAUGUUUAUUCUAGUAUCAGGUGUUUUGACAUUUCAGGCUGCAGGGGCAUUUGAUGCAAGGUGUGUGUCAAAAAGAUGUGGGGCUAUGUCAGCAAUGCUAAAGGCUAAUGUGGACCAUGUUAUGAUACUACGUUGUUGCAGAAUCUAUCAGUGCCUCUCUUGGGAUAGAUUUGCGCAUACCACGAGAGUAACCCCCAAAUAUCCACAAGCCUAGACUUGUGGGCUGCUAGACGGAGAACCUGUAAUAUAGUCUUACACACACCUCUUAGACCACUUCUUCACUUUUCCAGGCACAUUUUUGUUGCCUGCAGACAGUCAGCCAAGGAGUCUUAUGUUAGUGGAAGGGGAAACUAUAUCCAGCAGCACUUUAGAAAACCUUGUUGGAAAGUGUUAUAGCUGGAGUCACCACAUUGAAUUCUGAUCCUCUCUGAAAUAAGAAUACAGCAGAAAAAAGGUUUAGAGGAAGCAACAAAAAUAGGCUGCUGUGUGAGGCAGAGACAGAAAGGUCAGGCUAUUAGAUGCUGUGAAGAAACAAACAAGGGAUGAUACAAUAGGUAUAUGCAAAAUUUUCCUUAGGUUCUGCAAAAGCAUAAGCUCGGGGGAGUUCCCUGUGAGGUUAAAAUGGCAAUACACCUCAAGCUGAUUAAAUGUGUCUCUCCAAAAAGCACACAGACUCUCAGAACUCAUUACUCAAGCAAAAGUUUUAGGAGGAGUCGAAUAAGAAUUUCUGCUGUUACCUUAAAUAGAAAAUAACACACAAGAGGUUAUAAAACUUCAUGUUCCAGGAUGAAAGUCAGCCACUUCCUAUUUAGGGUCAGGAAGACACUUCCCCUGGAGGUACACUAUUAAGGAUUGUCCAUUACAGGAUUUUUUAGCUUUAUAUCUCAGUUCAAAUACUGUCAGUGACAGUGUUUUGCCAGAUGAAACACUGUUUGGUAACUGCUGGUCUACUCUCUUCUAAAUUGAAACCCCAUUUUCAAAUGUCUCAGACCAUGCUGCUCUAAAACUAUUGUUUUUUUCUUUGUCGUACACGAGCAAAAGAAAUAAGAGGAAAUAAUUUCCUUGGUUAUUAAAAUACAUAUUUACUAACUUGUUUAAUUAGCUGUGUGUGUAGAGGAGGCAGUUUUCUGGUAGUUUCUUUUCCCUAGAAUAUUGUAGGCUGAAUUCUCUCCACCCCAGGUAACAAAAGCCAAAUUGAAGCACUGAUCCCUAAUUUAGUACCAGUGUAUUUGUACAACAUUUGAGAGCAAUAAAACACUCCUACGUUUUUGCUAUGGUACUUAUCGUGAGUGAGCAAGCUGCCAGUUAAGGGCGUUACUGACUCACCUUCCUGUCUGCCCUGACUUGGGCAGAUAGAAAGUGGAUGGGACGUUGUCAGAAUGGACAACAGCGAGUGAACGCCUCCUGAUAACCCACUAACGGGGCAUCGAGCAGUCAUCAGUGCAGAAAGCGGAAAAAUGCAAUUAAUCCUCUAAGUAUGAGAAAAUCUGCUGUCAUUUUCCACAAAAUAACCUCAAUCGACUGAAAAUUGCUUCAGCCAGUUUUUUAAGCGGUAAAAUAUUAAGUAAGUGCAGUCUUUCAGAGAUGCUCAUUUCUGAUCUGCUUUAAAGCGUAAAUGUGAAACCUAUGUUGUGCACCCUCCCUGAAAUAUUUGGCAGGAAGAGUCUCGUUCACGAGGAAAGCAUCCUCUUUUCCUUGAUCUUCUGCACUAGAUGAUCUCUUUUUGCCAUCAC